rnacentral:rRNA from 1 species
CAGCAGCCGCGGGAAUACGGAGGGUGCGAGCGUUGUCCGGAUUUAUUGGGUUUAAAGGGUGCGUAGGUGGCUUUUUAAGUCAGUGGUGAAAUACAGCCGCUCAACGGUUGAGGUGCCAUUGAUACUGAAGAGCUUGAAACAAGUGGAGGCUGCCGGAAUGGAUGGUGUAGCGGUGAAAUACAUAGAUAUCAUCCAGAACACCGAUUGCGAAGGCAGGUGGCUACGUUUGAUUUGACACUGAGGCACGAAAGCACGGGGAGCAAACAGGAUUAGAUACCCCGGUAGUCCCUGUCUCUUAUAC